AUGUAGAGCAAUCUCUGUUUAAGUAGGGUAAAAUUACUCUUAAAAAAAAAAAAUCUUAGAUAGUUUUCCCUUCAAGUAAAGCGUCUUGU
rnacentral:pre_miRNA from 1 species